rnacentral:rRNA from 1 species
UACGGAGGGUGCGAGCGUUGUCCGGAAUCAUUGGGCGUAAAGGGCGCGUAGGUGGCCCGGUCAGUUCGUGGUGAAAGCGCGGGGCUCAACCCUGCGUCGGCCAUGAAUACUGCCGCGGCUGGAGCACUGUAGAGGCAGGCGGAAUUCCGGGUGUAGCGGUGGAAUGCGUAGAGAUCCGGAAGAACACCGGUGGCGAAGGCGGCCUGCUGGGCAGUUGCUGACACUGAGGCGCGACAGCGUGGGGAGCAACAGGG